rnacentral:sRNA from 1 species
GCACAUAGAAUCUUCUCCAGUGAAUUCACCACCCCAGCUCUCUGCAGAUUGAGCUAGUGCAUCUUUUGGAAAAAUACCUAUUAUUUGUGAGGUCUUCGAAAGUUGUGACAGCCUUGAUUCAGAUCAGGUUACUUUGACGCGCACGCCCUUGCUAUGGACUAUCGGAGUUUGGGAUUUCGGGAAUGCCUGGCAGAAGUUGCCCGUUAUCUGAGCAUCAUUGAAGGACUAGAUGCCUCUGACCCGCUUCGAGUUCGACUGGUCUCGCAUCUCAACAACUACGCUUCCCAGCGGGAAGCCGCGAGCGGCGCCCACGCGGGCCUCGGACACAUUCCCUGGGGGACCGUCUUCGGACAUCACCCGCACAUCGCGCACCCGCUGUUGCUGCCCCAGAACGGCCACGGGAACGCGGGCACCACGGCCUCACCCACGGAACCGCACCACCAGGGCAGGCUGGGCUCGGCACAUCCGGAGGCGCCUGCUUUGCGAGCGCCCCCUAGCGGCAGCCUCGGACCGGUGCUCCCUGUGGUCACCUCCGCCUCCAAACUGUCGCCGCCUCUGCUCUCCUCAGUGGCCUCCCUGUCGGCCUUCCCCUUCUCUUUCGGCUCCUUCCACUUACUGUCUCCCAAUGCACUGAGCCCUUCAGCACCCACGCAGGCUGCAAACCUUGGCAAGCCCUAUAGACCUUGGGGGACGGAGAUUGGAGCUUUUUAAAGAACUGAUGUAGAAUGAGGGAGGGGAAAGUUUAAAAUCCCAGCUGGGCUGGACUGUUGCCAACAUCACCUUAAAGUCGUCAGUAAAAGUAAAAAGGAAAAAGGUACACUUUCAGAUAAUUUUUUUUUAAAGACUAAAGGUUUGUUGGUUUACUUUUUUCUUUUUUAAUGUUUUUUUCAUCACGUCAUAUAUUAGCAAUUUUUAAAAACUAGUUGUUAAAUUUUGUUCAAGACAUUAAAUUGAAAUAGUGAGUAUAAGCCAACACUUUGUGAUAGGUUUGUACUGUGCCUAAUUUACUUUGUAAACCAGAAUGAUUCCGUUUUUACCUCAAAAUUUGGGGAAUCUUAACAUUUAGUAUUUUUGGUCUGUUUUCCUCCUUGUAUAGUUACGGUCUGUUUUUAGAAUUAAUUUUCCAAACCACUAUGCUUAAUGUUAACAUGAUUCUGUUUGUUAAUAUUUUGACAGAUUAAGGUGUUGUAUAAAUAAUAUUCUUUUGGGGGGAGGGGAACUAUAUUGAAUUUUAUAUUUCUGAACAAAGCGUUGACAAAUCAGAUGAUCAGCUUUAUCCAAGAAAGAAGACUAGUAAAUUCUCUGCCUCCUAUAGCAGAAAGGUGAAUGUACAAACUAUUGGUGGCCCUGAAUCCAUCUGACCAGCUGCUGGUAUCUGCCAGGACUGGCAGUUCUGAUUUAGUU